rnacentral:rRNA from 1 species
UCGAGAAUCAUUCGCAAUGGGCGCAAGCCUGACGAUGCGACGCCGUGUGAGCGAUGAAGGCCUUCGGGUUGUAAAGCUCUUUCGCCUGGGAACAAGAGAGGCGGGCUAAUAUCCCGCUAAUUUGAGGGUACCAGGUAAAGAAGCACCGGCUAACUCCGUGCCAGCAGCUGCGGUAAUACGGAGGGUGCAAGCAUUAAUCGGAUUUAUUGGGCGUAAAGGGCGCGUAGGCGGAGAGAUAAGUCAGAUGUGAAAUCCCGGGGCUCAACCUCGGAAUAGCAUUUGAAACUAUUUUUCUAGAGGGUAGACGGAGAAAAUGGAAUUCCACAAGUAGCGGUGAAAUGCGUAGAUAUGUGGAAGAACACCUGUGGCGAAAGCGAUUUUCUAGUUUAUACCUGACGCUAAUGCGCGAAAGCAAGGGGAGCAAACA